GGGGGCGUAACGGCUUCGACGUAGAUAGGAAACUUUAAGUGGCAUGCCGAGGGCCUGUCCGCUCGUAAAACGGAUAGGGAACCAUUAAGUGCCGACAACUACGGCUACGCUCUAGCUGCUUAAAGCUGGCGCUUGGAGACUCCUCGCCGGAAGGGACCUCCAAGUGACGGGAUUCCGGCAAAGCCGCCCUGCUCGCCCACGGUUCGGCGGACAAAAACUUAAGGUGGGAUAGCUCCAGGGAAUUCCGCCGGUGGAAGUCCCUGCGGGCGAAGGCAAAACGCCGGCUAAGCAUGUAGAAGCUUAAAGGGACUAUGUGCGGACGCGGGUUCGACUCCCGCCGCCUCCACCA
rnacentral:tmRNA from 1 species